AGAGUUUGAUCAUGGCUCAGAUUGAACGCUGGCGGCAGGCCUAACACAUGCAAGUCGAGCGGUAGCACAGGAGAGCUUGCUCUCUGGGUGACGAGCGGCGGACGGGUGAGUAAUGUCUGGGAAACUGCCUGAUGGAGGGGGAUAACUACUGGAAACGGUAGCUAAUACCGCAUAACGUCUUCGGACCAAAGUGGGGGACCUUCGGGCCUCACGCCAUCAGAUGUGCCCAGAUGGGAUUAGCUAGUAGGUGGGGUAAUGGCUCACCUAGGCGACGAUCCCUAGCUGGUCUGAGAGGAUGACCAGCCACACUGGAACUGAGACACGGUCCAGACUCCUACGGGAGGCAGCAGUGGGGAAUAUUGCACAAUGGGCGCAAGCCUGAUGCAGCCAUGCCGCGUGUGUGAAGAAGGCCUUCGGGUUGUAAAGCACUUUCAGCGAGGAGGAAGGGUAGUGUGUUAAUAGCACAUUGCAUUGACGUUACUCGCAGAAGAAGCACCGGCUAACUCCGUGCCAGCAGCCGCGGUAAUACGGAGGGUGCAAGCGUUAAUCGGAAUUACUGGGCGUAAAGCGCACGCAGGCGGUUUGUUAAGUCAGAUGUGAAAUCCCCGCGCUUAACGUGGGAACUGCAUUUGAAACUGGCAAGCUAGAGUCUUGUAGAGGGGGGUAGAAUUCCAGGUGUAGCGGUGAAAUGCGUAGAGAUCUGGAGGAAUACCGGUGGCGAAGGCGGCCCCCUGGACAAAGACUGACGCUCAGGUGCGAAAGCGUGGGGAGCAAACAGGAUUAGAUACCCCGGUAGUCCAA
rnacentral:rRNA from 1 species